rnacentral:rRNA from 1 species
GCCCUUAUGACCUGGGCUACACACGUGCUACAAUGGACGGUACAAAGAGCUGCAAGACCGCGAGGUGGAGCUAAUCUCAUAAAACCGUUCUCAGUUCGGAUUGUAGGCUGCAACUCGCCUACAUGAAGCUGGAAUCGCUAGUAAUCGCGGAUCAGCAUGCCGCGGUGAAUACGUUCCCGGGCCUUGUACACACCGCCCGUCACACCACGAGAGUUUGUAACACCCGAAGUCGGUGGGGUAACCUUUUUGGAGCCAGCCGCCUAAGGUGGGACAGAUGAUUGGGGUGAAGUCGUAACAAGGUAGCCGUAUCGGAAGGUGCGGUUGGAUCACCUCC